GCCGAGGUGGCGGAACCAGGUUAACGCGCCAGCCUGGAGAGCUGGUUCCCGUAAGGGUUUGUGGGUUCAAAUCCCACCCUCGGCG
rnacentral:tRNA from 1 species